GCCUUCGUGGUGUAACGGUCAGCACACUCGGCACGUAUUCGAGGGAUCCAGGGUUCGAGUCUCGGCGAAGGCA
rnacentral:tRNA from 1 species